CUCUCUGGGGGGCGCGGGGGGGAGGGAGUAGGCAGAGCCAACUGCUGGGAGACCAGGUGGAUGGGAGUCAGGAUGGGGCAGCCCUUCUCUGAACCUCUCCAUCAAGAGGGGUUGGGCUGGUUUGACUCUUGAUUUGUGACUUCGGUUUUUUAUCACCAUUAAACUUUUUUAUUGAUUGAUGAGAGAGAGAGAGAGAGAGAGAGAGAUUUGUUGUUCUACUUAUUUAUGCAUUCAUUGGCUGACGCUUGUAUGUGCCCCGAGUGGGGAUGGAACCCGCAAUCUGGGCGAAUCAGGAUGAUGCUAACCAACUGAGCUGCCCGGCCAGGGCUGAUGAGUGGCUUAGUCUGAAAAGGCUCUGCCCUUGACAGAAAACCAGGGUCAGGUCUUAAAGAAACAAUCCUUGGCCCUGCCCCCUCCCCUUCUCAGCCCAGGUGUUGUUUCUCUCAGCAGCUGUCUCUCUCUCUCUCAUUUAUCUACAAACAGAUGCUGUUGCUUCGGGCCUAGCAAGUGAAAGAGGGAGUGACAUGCAGAAAACAGGUGAGACCAGAAACGGCUCAAAGGCAUCCUGUAGCUCCCUGAGGCCCCUCUUGUGCAGGGAGGGCUGGGAGGCUGUUGGUGAGGGUGGCAGCUGCCCGCUGUGCCUGCGGUCCCCCAGCAGGUGAGGCACCCGAGUGGGCCAGCAUCUGCUCAGGCACCACAUCCCGUCUCCCGGCUGGGAAACUGCCCUUUAGGCUCAGAGGGUGGCUAGGUGCUGCUGGCUGCGCUUCAGAGGGGAAUCGGCGCCCAGGCAGGAGGCCGUGGGACCAGCCAUGAGGAUCUGGGUCCCGGUAGGCGGGACGAUAGCGGUGCCAGGUGGUCUGAGCAGACACACACUGUCCCCUCCGCAGUCCCCAGGCCACACUCAGUACUCCUUCCUGGGUGUGCAGGAAACAGGCAGAGUGGCCGUUAUCUUGGGGAGUGCGGUCUGGCCUCUAACAGCAGUGCUGGGCGAAGGCAGCUGUCAGGGGAAGGCGCGAGUGAGAGCGGAGGUGCUGGGCAUUAGCAGAUGGAAGACUAUCAGCCCACUCUCCCCACGUUACGAGUGAUCAAGUGAUUGCGGCCCCAUUCAUAGCUACUGUGUUCUAAGGCCGUGCUGCGGGAGAGGGGCCGAGUGAGGGAAGUGGAGCUCACCUUUUGAGACCUAGCAGAGUUCUUAAAAACUUGAAGAUCUAAAUUGGUUUUAUUAAGCGAUUCAUUAAUUGGGCUGCACCUCGUCUAGCAACUAGAUUCUAGUUACCAGUCCCCUUACGCAUGCAUUCCCUCCCCAGAGCUCGCCCACCACCCGCAGAAACAUGAGGACUGUGUCUGUGACUUGAGGGCAUUCCAGGCCCCGAGGUAAAUGCGACCGCUGGACCGGAAAGGGAUGCCCUCUCGGUGGGAGGCAGGGAGGACCCAGGUCUGGAAGGGACACACCUCUCGAAGGGAAGAUGAGAGAAGCCAGGAUGACAGGGGACCCUGCUCCAGCCUCCUGUCAGCCUACCUUCCAAGAAGCCUCCAAGGGCAGGUAGACAAGGGGUGGGAGGAACCCGGGGGGCGGGGGCAGAGAAAUCCCCAGCGAGAGGUGCUCUCCUUGCCCCGGGCCUGUGUGCCUAGAAACUUGUCUUUUCCUCUGAUGUCUUCAUUUCAGCCCUUUCCCAGUUUAGGGCUCUUGGACUCAUCCCAGUAGGGGCUCUAGGAUGAAUGCUGCAGACCUCACCCCCACCCCAGCCAAAGCUGAGGCGGGGGGUGUGCACGUGGGGGUGCACGGCCC